AACGCUGGCGGCGUGCCUAAUACAUGCAAGUCGAGCGGACCGGACGAGAGCUUGCUCUUGUUCGGUUAGCGGCGGACGGGUGAGUAACACGUGGGCAACCUACCCGUAAGACCGGGAUAACUCCGGGAAACCGGAGCUAAUACCGGAUAACACCGAAGACCGCAUGGUCUUCGGUUGAAAGGCGGCUUUGGCUGUCACUUACGGAUGGGCCCGCGGCGCAUUAGCUAGUUGGUGAGGUAACGGCUCACCAAGGCGACGAUGCGUAGCCGGCCUGAGAGGGUGACCGGCCACACUGGGACUGAGACACGGCCCAGACUCCUACGGGAGGCAGCAGUAGGGAAUCUUCCGCAAUGGACGAAAGUCUGACGGAGCGACGCCGCGUGAGCGAAGAAGGUCUUCGGAUCGUAAAGCUCUGUUGUUAGGGAAGAAGAAGUACCGUUCGAAUAGGGC
rnacentral:rRNA from 1 species